AAAAAAUCGACUUAUCGAUAAUCUAUCGAAACGUAUCAAGAAUCGAAGGAUUGAUUCGUCUAGUCGCUUGACAGCAACGGACAAUCACGUAGUUUGAGAAAAGUUCGAAAAAGAUUGUCAAUUGAUAAUCUUCAUAUACACAUGCUUAUCAAUAACAUCUACUGUACUUUUUAUACGAUAAACAAUUCUUGACGAAUAUUUUUGAUCGAUCUUUAAGUAAUCUGGCACAAGAUAGACCUUGGCAAUGAUAGACCUUGUUGGAUGUUAUCUUUACUUGGAACCGAGCUGAGAAAACGCAGAUAAUUCAGAGUCUCGAGUAUAUAUUGAGAUUUCAAAAUAAUUUUGAUGAUAUAAUUCUAAUCCCGAGUUUUAUAUUCGAUCUAUUCACACGAAUAACAAAUUUUA